CCUACGGGAGGCAGCAGUGAGGAAUAUUGGUCAAUGGACGAGAGUCUGAACCAGCCAAGUAGCGUGAAGGAUGACUGCCCUAUGGGUUGUAAACUUCUUUUAUAUGGGAAUAAAAUGUUCCACGUGUGGGAUUUUGUAUGUACCAUAUGAAUAAGGAUCGGCUAACUCCGUGCCAGCAGCCGCGGUAAUACGGAGGAUCCGAGCGUUAUCCGGAUUUAUUGGGUUUAAAGGGUGCGUAGGUGGAUUGUUAAGUCAGUUGUGAAAGUUUGCGGCUCAACCGGAAAAUUGCAGUUGAAACUGGCAGUCUUGAGUACAGUAGAGGUGGGCGGAAUUCGUGGUGUAGCGGUGAAAUGCUUAGAUAUCACGAAGAACUCCGAUUGCGAAGGCAGUUCACUGGACUGCAACUGACACUGAGGCUCGAAAGUGUGGGUAUCAAACAGGAUUAGAUACCCGGGUGGUC
rnacentral:rRNA from 1 species